GACGAAGGGGGCUAGCGUUGUUCGGAAUUACUGGGCGUAAAGCGCGCGUAGGCGGACCUGCAGGUCGGGGGUGAAAGCCCGAGGCUCAACCUCGGAACUGCCUUCGAUACUGCGGGUCUCGAGUCCGGGAGAGGUGAGUGGAAUUCCUAGUGUAGAGGUGAAAUUCGUAGAUAUUAGGAAGAACACCAGUGGCGAAGGCGGCUCACUGGCCCGGUACUGACGCUGAGGCGCGAAAGCGUGGGGAGCAAACAGG
rnacentral:rRNA from 1 species